UUCUAGGACAAGGGUCGGGACGGGACGCUAGUUGGCUGCCAUAAGAGAACUCAGGUCUCAGACUACUCAAACUAAAAAAAAAAGACCGUUUGUAAUCUAGGGAAAUCAUUUCAUCUGAGCCAACAGUCAACGAUAGGCUAGUUUCGAAAAUUACCAAUGAUUUCAUUGGUUAGCUCGAGUGAUUUCGUCUGUUACUUGUCGGUGAUGUGGUGAUCUGUUCUAUUCCGUGUAUAUGUUGGAUAAUCUUAAUGUUUUUCAUCAACUCACAGUCAGAGGAAACGUGAAGGUCGUGCACCCUAACGUCAACUAUUUUGUUCAAAUUCAUUGUAUUUUACCGAAUGUGUCAUCGAAAUGAUACAGAUUCUAUGCUAGAUAACUGACUCCAGAAUGGAUCAAUCUCUCAUUCCAUCUUCAAGAGAAUCUCGGAUAACUGAUAGGUGAUGGUUUCAUGUGUUUCUAAAUUUGGCGUGACAGACUUUUGAGAAGUUAUGUCCUUUCAAGAAAAAGGACUUACAGUCGACAAGAUUCCUUGUUUGCUAACCCAUUGGCUGCUACCCUUGAAUCUCCCUAUUUGUCAACAACAAAAAAAGAGGCUAAAUAUUAUGUUGCCUAUAAGACCAGAUGUGGGGCAUCUGGUUAUCCCUCCAAAAUAAGGCAAUGACCACACGUUCAACGCGGAUCAUUCGUUUUGUCAUCGAACUUGACUCAUUCCAUCUUCUGAAUUGCUUAGGAAAGCUGAUUGGUGUUACCUGUUCAUUUAGGUAAUGACCGAGAAGAUGCGGCCUACAUGAAAAUCAUUUAGGCGGCCAGCAUCAUUCGACUACCCAACCGGCUUCUACUACCUACCUAACCCUGCUCUCAACACAGCACGGAGUUUUACCCUAUAGAUUUUUGGCUGUUCGCGAUGUGUGAUGGCGUUUGCUUGGACGAUAUGAUGAUUUUGGCGAGAAAAAUAUUGUGUUCCUAAAUUUGCAUGACAAACUUUAUGAAAAGUAAUGUUCUUUCAAGAAAGUCAACAAGGUCCCUUGUUUGCUAACCCAAUGGCUGCUACCCUUGAAUCUCCCGAUUUAGUUCCUUACACAGGCCCUCUUGAUUGGAGGGUAAUCCUUCGCUACUGAUCAUGGACUCCA
rnacentral:lncRNA from 1 species